rnacentral:lncRNA from 1 species
CUUGUUGCCCGGGCUGGAGUGCAAUGGCACGAUUUCAGCUCACCACAACCUCCACCUCCCAGGUUCAAGCAAUUCUCCGGGCUCAGCCUCCCGAAUAGCUGGGAUUACAGGUGUGCACCACCAUGCCUGGCUAAUUUUUUGUAUGAAAAAGCAGAAUCUUAUACAAUGCUCAAUUAAAAUCAGGGAGAGGAGAAAAAGAGUAGAAUACCAAAAAAGUAACAAAUUACAAGGUUGAUAUAAAUAGAAAACAAUCACAAAUACUGAGUAUACUAAUCUAAGUAUAUCAAUAAUCACUUUAAACAUCGCUUAAAAGACAGAGAUUGUCAGUGGAUUAAGAACAAGACCCAAAUAUAUGUUGUCUAUGAGAAAUGCACUUUAAAUAGCUGGGCAUGGUGGUGUGCACCUGCAGUCCUUAGGAGGCCAAGGCGGAGUGUCACCUGAGCCCAGGAUUUUGGGACUACAGUGAGCUAUGAUCAUGCCACUGCACUCUAGCCUGGUUGACAGAAUAAGACCUCAUCUCUAUAGAAAAAAGUAAGUAAAUCUACUUUAUAAAGGCACAAAUAUAUUCACAGUAAAGGAAUAGAGAAAGAUAUCCCAUGCUAACAUUAAUCAAAAUAAAGUGAAAUAGCCAUAUUAAUUUCAGACACAACCGACUUUAGAACAAGGAAUAUUAUCAGAGAUCAAAAGGGACAUUCCUUAAUGAUAAAGGGAUCAGUUUUCUAAGAAGACAUAACAAUCCUUAAUGUGUACGCACUGAACAGCAGAUCAUCAAAGUACAUGAAGCUAAAUCUGAUAGAACUGCAUAGAGAAAUAGAUAAAUUCACUCUUAGAGUUGGAGGCAUUGGCAUCCCUCUAUCAGAAAUGGACAGGUUUAGCAAGCAGAAAAUCAGUAAGGGCAUAACAUGAUCAAUCAUGAUCAAAAACUUGAUUCAGUCAACUAUAUGUAACUGACAUCUAUGGACCACUUUACCCAACAACAGCAGAUGACACAUUUUCUCACACACACAUGAAACAUUCAGCAGAAUAGACCACAUUCUGGGCUAGAAAAUGCACCUCAACAAAUUUAAAAGAAUAGAAAUCAUACAAAGUAUGUUCUCAGACUACAAUGGAAUGAAAGUAAACAAAAAUCACUAAAAAAGAUAGCUGAAAAACAUGAAAAUACUUGGAGGUUAAACAACAGACUGAAAUAACUGAAGGUCACAGAAGUCUCAAGAUAAAUUUUUAAAAUAUUUCAAACUAAAUGGAAUUGAAAGCACAACUUAUCAAAAAUUUAGGAACGCAACAAAGGCAGUGCCUACUGGGAAAUUUAUACCACUGAAUGUAUGUUAAAAAGAACAAAGAUCUAAAUAAAUAAUCCUUCCCAUUGGAAAGCUAGGGGGAAAAUUCAAAUUAAAUUCAAAGUAAGCAAGUAAAAGAAAUAAUAAAAUAUGAAUACAAUUCUGAGUGGCCUGAUAUCUGAUUUCUGGAAGCUGAGUUUUAUGUGGCUUUAGAAGUUUCAUGUUAUGAGUGUGAAAUGGCAAGUGACCAUGGCGAUUGCUUCUGAUAUGGCCACCUCAAUUACAUAGAGAAGGGAUGAUCAGUGGCAUCAUCCCAGUUCUGCAUGAUACCACACCAGUGAUUCUCCAAAGUCAAGAAACCUGUAUAUGUUGUCCUUGUGUUUGGUGAAUCUGUGGUCUAUAGACUACAUAAUGGGCUAUUUCUGGGGUACUGACCAUUUUGCUCCAUUAAGGAAAACCAUGCAUGAGCCAUAUAACUAUGGGAAACAAUGUUUUCCUUUUUGACACCUGGCCUACUCUCUUCUUAGGUGAGAGCAAAGGAAGAGCACCACUUGGCCUGCUGCACCCAGGGCAAUUUAUACCAUCCAGAUAUCCAGCACUGAAUAUGUAGCAACUCCAAUCCACCAUAGAACAUUAAUCUAUCUCUGAUAAGCAUGCUAAUAUCUAUGAUUCUGCCUUUGUGGGGAGAUGACUCCAUAGAUUAACCCCCUGGCUUGGGGCAAUAUGGAGAUGUUAUAUUGUCUUCGACAGGGAAGAUGACAUAAAAAUUAUGUUCAAUAGGAUUAUGUGGAGACUUAACAUAAGUGACAAACCUAAGACAAGAAGUUAGAAAUCCUUGUUUCUUUUAGGUGAAUAAUUUUGGAGCUUGAGAAAAAGACACCAUUGUGGCGAACUUGCUUUGCCAAACCCUGUGUAUGCAUUUUUGGGUAAACAACACAUUUUCAUCCUUUAAGCAUUGUUUCCAUUAUUUAUAAUUCCUAAUAGUAUGAGACAUUUAGGACUCAUUCCUUGGUUCUUCUUCUCUCAUUGUAUCUUUCAUUGUAUCUUUCAGUGCUGCAAGAGAUGCAAUCAUCCCAUUAAUGAAAGCAGAGUGACUGCCUUCGUCACACAUACAUUCAAAAUAGAUCACUAGGCUAGUGAUGAUUCUCUCUUAAGGCUAUUAUGUUUACUCAUUUAAAAAAUCUGGAUCUCAGUAUAGAUUUUCUUCUCAGUGAGUGACUGACCUAUCUGAUAUGAUGCUAUGACAAAAUCUUUACUUUUUACCUGAAUUUGGUGGGAUUGAAAGUUGAGAACAUAUUAAUUUAUUUUCUGUUUCACUUGAUUAAUAAUGCCCAAUCUAACAUGCAGUGUUCACUUGGGUACAUAUAUACAACUACAUCAAAUUUUUUCUUGUUUUACCUUAAAAGUGUUAAGAUAUUGUAAUGGUAUGGCCAGUUUACUCACUGGUAAACUUUUCAUAACAGAAAUAUCAUGCCAGUGGACACAAAUAUGUAACAUCAGUAAUUUGCUUUCCUCAUGAAACAGAGAACUGAAUAAGUUGAUGGGUAAACUAGUAUCUGAAUUAUAAACCCCAAAUAUCAUGUGACUUCAUCAUUUUCAGUAUAAUGAAAAUACAGGCUGUGAAUGCUUCCAGUUGGUCCUGAAAGGGCCUUUGAGGUGAGUAGGUUCACCAAAGCGGCAACAUAUGUGUCCCAGUGGGCAUUCUACUCCUCAGUAAGUGACUUGACAUUCUUUAUGGCUUCCUCAUGAUUAAAACAAGUCUUUUUAUUGAAAUUUUACUGAAAUAAUGAUGAAACAAUGUAAUAUUCUUUUCAUCUACAUAUAAGAGUAGACAUAGAUUAACCUCUACCUUUUUUUUUUUUUUUUUUGAGACGGAGUCUCGCUCUGUUGCCCAGGCUAGAGUACAGUGGUGCGAUCUCAGCUCAUUGCAACCUCUGCCUCCCAGGUUCAAGCGAUUCUCCUGCCUCAGCCUCCUGAGUAGCUGGGAUUACAGGCACGUGCUACCAUUCCUGGCUAAUUUUUUUGUAAUUUUAGUAGAGACAUGGUUUCACCAUGUUGGUCAGGCUGUUCUUGAACUCCUGACCUUGUGAUCUGCCCACCUCUGCCUCCCAAAGUGCUGGGAUUACAGGCUUGAGCCCCCGUGCCUGGCCUUCACCUCUACCUAUUAUAAUAUUUUCAUGUUAUUCCAUUUUGUCAUGUUUGUGGGUCAUUUGAUGAGGGUUCACAAUAUGAAAACUGGGCAUUUUGGCCAAGAUGCAUGUAAAUGAAUACAACUCCAUGUGCCCUGAUAACUGAUUUCUAGAUCCUGAGAUGCAAGUGGCUUCCAGAGUGUCUGUAUUUUAUGAAAGUUCAUAUACAGUAAACCAUGCUAAUUGUUACUGAUACAGCUUCCUUGAAUAUAUAAAGCGAUGAUUAAUGGGAUGUUUUGUUUCUGCAGAAAACCACUGAAUUGCUUCUCCAAAGCCAAGUGACCUGUAUGAUUUGUCCUUAUUAUAUUUUGUGAACCAGUGGACUAAAACCUUUAUAAUGGGUCAUUUUUUUAGUAUUGUCAAUAUUGCUCAAUUAACAAACAUGACUCAUAUACACAGGUGAGAUGUAGUUCUCCCUUUGACAUUUGCUCUACAUCUGUCCCUUAGAUGAUGAUAUGGAAGAAAAGCACUCUUUGGCCUGUUGUGACUGGGACAGUUGACAGCACCCAGGUGUCCUUUAAUGAAAAUGCUCUUGACACCAAUGCAUCCUAGCAUCACAGCUUCAGGAAGCCUUCUCAAGUGUGCAUGGGGAGUACUAUGUCUUUCAUCAAUAAUGAAAUCUUCUGAUUUGUAAGACAUGCUGCCAAGAGAUGUGCCAUUCUAUUAUAAAAGAUCAGUAGCUUCCUUUACCGACGUGUAUAUUCUAUCUAGAACAUUGAGCUAUGGAAGACUCCCACCUAAGGGAAUUAGUUUUACACCUUCAGAUAAAGACUGCUGAGAAGAGCACCCUCUGGUGUUGUCACAGAGGCAAGUGCUACCGCACAGGCAUGCUGCAGUGAAUUUAACUGAUCCUCUGUCCCUGCAACCGUUGUUUAAGGAUGCUAUUCUGAAAAGACUGUGGAGGAAGAAAACCCUUUACCCUGUUGUUCAGGGAGAAACUGACACCACUCAACUGCCUGGCACUGAAAAUGUGGCAUCCAGUCCACUUUACCAUCAGUGUUUAAGGAAACCAUCUCUGAUAAGGAUGACUGAGGAAGAGUACUCUUUGGCUUGUUGACACCAGCACAGCUGACACACCCAGAUAUCUGUUUGGUCUCCUGUGAACUUUCAACCAGGAUUUAAGGAUGCCACUCUGGUUAAAAGCUGAAACAACUUCAAGGAAACUUCAGGGAAAAGAGAAGGCCUGGAAUCUGAUCCUCCACUUCAGAGAACAGGGGUGGUGGAGUCUAUGGCCCUUCUCCUUGAAUCUGAGUGAAAUUAGUGAGUCUUUCAAUCCAAAGACUACAGUCAUACCUCAACUAUCUACAGAGGACUGGUUCCAGGACUCCCAUGGAUCCCAAAAUCCAAGGAUGCUUCGAAUCCCUUAUAUAAAAUGGCAUGGUAUUUGCAUAUAACCUACAUGCAUCUUCAAAUAUGUUAAACCAUCUCUAGAUUACUUAUAAUACCAAAUACAAUGUAAUGCUAUGUAAACAGUUGUUACAAUGUAUUGUCAAAGACAAGCUCUCCUUGCCAAUCCCUGACCAAAUGAGAGAUUCAUGAGCAAAAUAAAUAGUUGCUGAUAUUUAAGGCACUAAGUUUGGGGCAAUGUAUUACACAGCAAUAAAUAACUGGAACAGCAUAGUAAAUUCUAGUUAAAAAUACUAAACUACUAAGUUUUAGUUAACAUACAUGCUCAAGUUAAGGGUGUGGUAUACUAACAACUGCAACUUACUUUGAAAAGCAUAAAAAAAGACACUAGAAGAAGACAGGAUGGAUAGAUGGACAAGAUAGAAGACAAUAACAAAUAGAACAAAAUGUUGUGAAAUUAUAUUCUACAAUUAUUUUAAAGUCUGUGUGGUUUGAAAAAUUGUACGAUAAAAUGAAGAGUGAAAUAAAGACAUUUCCAUACAAACAAAAGCUGAAAGAUUUUGUAGCCAGUAGACCUAUACUUUAGAAAUGUUUAAGAAAUUUUUUCAAGUAAAAGGAAAAUAACACCAGCAACAAACUUGGAUCUACAAAAAGGAAUC